UUCGAUAGCUGUAAAUCUCCGAAUGAACCAGAUCCCAUCAGAUCAUGAAAGCUAAGGAGAGUCAGACCUGAUUAGCACUUGGAUGGGAGACUAUCAAGAAAGACCAGGUGUUCUGGGUU
rnacentral:rRNA from 11 species